rnacentral:rRNA from 1 species
AGUGAACGCUGGCGGUAGGCCUAACACAUGCAAGUCGAACGGCAGCACAGUAAGAGCUUGCUCUUACGGGUGGCGAGUGGCGGACGGGUGAGGAAUACAUCGGAAUCUACUUUUUCGUGGGGGAUAACGUAGGGAAACUUACGCUAAUACCGCAUACGACCUACGGGUGAAACCAGGGGAUCUUCGGACCUUGCGCGAUUGAAUGAGCCGAUGUCGGAUUAGCUAGUUGGCGGGGUAAAGGCCCACCAAGGCGACGAUCCGUAGCUGGUCUGAGAGGAUGAUCAGCCACACUGGAACUGAGACACGGUCCAGACUCCUACGGGAGGCAGCAGUGGGGAAUAUUGGACAGUGGGCGCAAGCCUGAUCCAGCCAUACCGCGUGGGUGAAGAAGGCCUUCGGGUUGUAAAGCCCUUUUGUUGGGAAAGAAAAGCAGCAGGUUAAUACCCCGCUGUUCUGACGGUACCCAAAGAAUAAGCACCGGCUAACUUCGUG